CACUAAGAAGCUAACACGGGCCUAGCGUUAGCCUUUUAAGCUAAAGAACGGUGCCUCCCAAACACCCUUAGUGA
rnacentral:tRNA from 2 species